rnacentral:tRNA from 1 species
CCUCUCAUGGCGUAGUGGUAACGCGCCCCAACUAGAGAGCGGGGAGUCGUGGGUUCGAUUCUCACUGAGAAGA